rfam:Mycobacterium sp. KMS, complete genome.
CGAGUUGGCCGGGCGGCCGCGGACCGGAAACGGUUCGAGGAAAGUCCGGACUUCACAGAGCAGGGUGAUUGCUAACGGCAAUCCGAGGUGACUCGCGGGACAGUGCCACAGAAAACAGACCGCCACCCCUGACGCCUUCGGGCAAAGGGGCGGUAAGGGUGAAACGGUGCGGUAAGAGCGCACCAGCACCCCGGGUGACCGGGGUGGCUCGGUAAACCCCACCCGAAGCAAGGCCAAGAGGCCGCACCCGGUGCGGCUGCGCAGGCGCUCGAGGGUUGCUCGCCCGAGCCUGCGGGUAGGCCGCUCGAGGCACCCGGCGACGGAGUGCCCAGAUGGAUGGUCGCCGCCGCGCCGUCAGCAAUGACGGCGCGGAACAGAAUCCGGCUUACAGGCCAGCUCGUCCG